UACGAAGGGGGCUAGCGUUGCUCGGAAUCACUGGGCGUAAAGCGCACGUAGGCGGCUUUUUAAGUCGGAGGUGAAAUCCUGGAGCUCAACUCCAGAACUGCCUUUGAUACUGAGGAUCUUGAGUUCGGGAGAGGUGAGUGGAACUGCGAGUGUAGAGGUGAAAUUCGUAGAUAUUCGCAAGAACACCAGUGGCGAAGGCGGCUCACUGGCCCGAUACUGACGCUGAGGCACGAAAGCGUGGGGAGCAAACAGG
rnacentral:rRNA from 1 species